AGCGGUUUUCUAGACGUGGGAACUCUUGAGUUUGACUGAAUUUUCGUGUUAUGCAUAGGAAGAGUCAUGUGGGCACAGCGUGGUGCCCGGCGGACGCCGGCUGCAUCUCACAACGAGCUCCGCCAAGUGCGCCACCAUGUUUGGGUGGUGUCGCCUGGCAACACGACGCUGCAGUUGCACCAACGGAGGAUUAUUUUGUUCUCUCGCGCGUUUACCACGCACUGAAAGUAUAAAGAAGACACUGACCUAAUGUAUUGUCUACUUCGAUGAAAUCGGUCUUACUAAAAAAAUAAGCACAAGUUCACUGCCCAA